GAUAUAGCUCAGCGGUAAAGUACUUGCAUAGCAUGCUUGAGGGCCUGGGUUCAAUCCUCAGUACA
rnacentral:tRNA from 1 species